UCCGUAGGCGGAUGGCCAAGUAUCUUGUGAAAUCCCUCGGCUCAACCGAGGAAUUGCAGGGUAAACUGGUCGUCUUGAGGCAGGUAGAGGUAACUGGAACUCAUGGUGGAGCGGUGGAAUGCGUAGAUAUCAUGGGGAACGCCAAAGGUGAAGACAAGUUACUGGGCCUGACCUGACGCUGAGGUACGAAAGCGUGGGUAGCAAACAGGAUUAGAUACCCUGGUAGUCC
rnacentral:rRNA from 1 species